rnacentral:tRNA from 1 species
GGUGGCUCAGUGGUAGAGCAGUUGCCUUCCAUGUAUUAGGCCCUGGGUUCGAUUCCUCAGCACCA